rnacentral:rRNA from 1 species
CGGAUCUCGAAAGCCUGUCCUAGUUCGGACUGGAGUCUGNAACCCGACUCCACGAAGUUGGAUUCGCUAGUAAUCGCGCAUCAGCCAUGGCGCGGUGAAUACGUUCCCGGGCCUUGUACACACCGCCCGUCAAGCCAUGGGAGCCGGGGGCGCCUGAAGUCCGGGACCGCGAGGACCGGCCUAGGGCGAAACUGGUAACUGGGGCUAAGUCGUAACAAGGUAAC